rnacentral:rRNA from 1 species
GGGCCGUUUUUCGAUGGUAAUUGGACUAUAGGCUUUCACGGGUACAGGGAAUUAGGGUUCGAUUCUGGAGAAGGAGCCUGAGAAACGGCUACUACAUCUACGGAAUGCUUCAUGCCCCGUAAAUUACCCAAUCCUGACUCAGGGAGGUGGUGACAAGAUAUAACAACGCAAUUUCAUUGUGAUUGUAGUGAGGGUAUUCCAAACCGAACCACUAGUACGAUUAGAGGGCAAGUCUGGUGCCAGCAGCCGCGGUAAUUCCAGCUCUAAUAGCGUAUAUUAAAGUUGCUGCAGUUAAAAGCUCGUAGUUGGAUUUCAAGGAUUGUGUACUCUUCUCAGAGUAUGCACCCUACUAGUCUUUGACUUGUUACUGUGAGAAAAUUAGAGUGUUUAAAGCAGGCUAUUGCAAGAAUACAUUAGCAUGAAUAACGAAUGUAUCUAGAAUCUGGUUAAUCUAGGCGCGACACAGAGACAGAGGGGGCAUCAGUAUUAAUUGUCGAGGCGACAUCUCUUUGUAUUUGUUAAGACUACGUAUGCGAAAGCAUUUGCCAGGACGUUUUCAUCUAUCAAGAUCGAAAGAUAGGGGAUCAAGACAUCAGAUACUGUCGUAGUCUAUCUAUAACUAUGCCGACUAGGAUUGAUGAAACAUCACAUUUCCGUACUUAUGAGGAUCUAGUCUUGGCUUCUGGGGGGGAGUACGUCGAAGACUGUAACUUAAGAAUUUGACGAGACCACAGGAGGAGCCGCGCUUAUUUGA